AUUAAAAACCCUAAAAAGUAAAGAAAAUCAAAGAUUGAAGAGAAAGAAGCCAAGAGCAAGAGGCAAGUGCGAUUGCCCAUGGUCGAGCAUGAUUAACCUACAUGCCAAACAAAUUUAAAUAUUAAUCGUGCUCUUUUUUUUGUGAUUAAAGAAAUUAUAAAUAUUUUUGUGAGAGAGAGAGUGCGUGAGAGAAGAUAAAAACCAUGGAUAGAAGGAUAUGAGUAGGAGAUUUAAUAAAUCCUUUCAGGGAGUAGGGUGUUGAUAGAAUCGUAUAGCUAUGGCAAUAAUACCUAAGUGGGGGUGAAUUGGGUUGUUUAAAAUUUUGAUAUAAAACUUGAAAGUUUUCUAACUUAAGAAGGAUAAAAAUUUUGAUGCAAGUUAAAGAUGAUUUAAGGAUUGCAAAUCACAAUUUAUGAAAUGAAAAAUAAACACAAUUAAGUGACACAAGCGAUAUAUAGUGGUUCGGCUUAAAUAAGCCUAAUUCACUAUUUUAGUUCAUCACUAAGGAUUUUCAAACAAAUUAUUAUAACCAUUCUAUCACACCAAAUAGACCAUUUAGCACCAAGCUAGGAAAUUACAAUUCUCUUGCUUAAGCAAGCAAACCCUCUAGCAAAGCUAGGUAAAAAAUAACCUCCUACUUAAACACAAGUAGGUCCUCUAAUUAUGUGAGCUAAGAACACAAUUUGAAAUACAAUAGAGAGAUGUUUUAGAGUAUGCACUCUUAGUUAUAUAAUCAAGAUCAAAUGCAAGGCUAGAAAUAUAAUUCUUUACAAUUAAACAUAACCCUUGAAAUAAGGAGAUUUAAAACACAAAAGAAGCACAAUAAUUGAUGAGCACCUGGGAGCUUGUAGAUUGAUCACUUGGGUAACUUGAAUUCUUCCUUUGACUUGUAUCUAUAGAGCCUUGAGAGCCCAUACACAAAUCAUGCCAUUGCAAGUGGAGAGACCACUUUAGAAGAGUGGAGAAACUAGUUGUUACAAACUAUUUGCGAUAAAAAUUGUCGACAGUUUCUUUAAGCUUGUUGACAAGUUAAUUAUAAAAUUAAACAACUGUCGACAAUUUGAGCAAGGCUAUCGACAAGUUCGAAAAACUGUCAACAUCACUGAUGCAGAGGAUGUCGACAUUUAAAAAUCGAGGGCAUGCAUUUUACCUGUCGACAGUUUGAUAUAGGUUGUCAACAGUUUGGGUUUAAAAACAUAGAAAUGGUCGACAAUUUAGAUUUAAUCUGUUGAUUUCUUUACCCAAACAAAAGAUAUUGUUGACAUAUUCUUUGGAACUGUCGACAUUAUGCUUUUAGGAUUCAAAAGAACUUUUGGAUUUAUGACUCAUUUUUCUCCAUUCUUUGAAAUCUGAUUUUGAAAACUCAUUUGAGGAAAACAUAUAAUUUCUAUUCUUUAAUGAGCUUCAAAUAACCCACAUUAAGGAAAUUUUGUUUUAGAUAUUAUUUUAAUUUUUUAAAGAUGAAAAAUAAUUUUUAGUUGAAACCAAAAGCAUAUAUUAACUUAUGCCAUAUGAACCAUUUUGUUGUUCAUCAUCAAAAUCGAAAACAAAGAAGCAAAAUAUCAGGUGUCUGAUUGGUUCCUGAGAAAGUGAGUAGAGGUAACGUGCCACAACUAACCAUCACAACUUCUAGGUGUUAAAUCUUUGCCCAUGAUCAAGCACGAUUAACCUGUUGUCGUUGUUGCCACCACUGUUGCCUCUAUAAGCCUCCAUCUGAGGUUGAACCAUCGCCAGCUGCUACCUUAUGUUGGCAUUUUUUACCAUUGCACAUUGCCCAUAACGUCUUUGCCUAUAGUCACUGCACACACCUUUGUUGUGUUGUCGUCACUCGCUGCCACCUCCCACCCUUAUCCCCGCUUUGGACACCCCCUGUUGUCACAUGUCGCCGCCUCUCUGAAGCACUGUUCACUGUUGCCGCUCGUGCGUUGCAUACCUUCCUCCGUUUCUGUUAUCACUCAUUGUCGCUUGCUGCUAGAAAGCACAUAUCGAGCUAGAGUUGGGCUCAUCAAACUUUUGACGAGUCAACUCAAGCUUGGUUCACAUGAAUCUAGUUGGAGCUUGUCAAGCUAAGCCUAACCUCAGCGAGGCUCGACUUGACUCAACUCAAUGUGAUUGUAACCCUAAAGUCAAGCAGCAACCUAAGCAAUAGUAGCAAGUAGCAAUAGUAGCCAAGGGUAAGGGAAUCAAUCAGUUUUUAGUCUCGAACCAGAUUAAGAAUAGGUCAAUGCAUUUUGAUGGACUAAGGACCGAAUUGCAUGGGGCUAGUUUGGAGCAAAAUUUGAACACCCGUACUUGAAAGUCCUACUAAGUAGAAUUCUUAAUUUUUAAUGGAGCUAGAAUUAAUAGUCACUUGCCAAAUCAAGAAAAAAAUUUAUAAGUAAGAAUAAAUCCCUCAUACUUAGGUGAAAAUCCCCUCACUUAAGUGAGUAAAUACACCAAUAAAAAACACAACUUAUAGAGCUUUGAUUACAAGAGGUUAAAUGAAAAAUCCCUUCAAUCAAUCCUCCAACUUAGAUAACACAUUUUCUUUGACUUGAAAAAUGCAAUACUCUUGCAAGUGUUUCAAGAUUUUUGUGUAUUUUGAGGCUCUAUAAAUCACUUUAUUUAUGUAAUUCAAAAACUAAUUGCUAGAGAGAAUGGAGAGAGAAAGAGAGACAACAUCUUAGAGCUUCUUUAACAAGGAUGUUGAGAAAUUUGUGUUUUGAUUUUAUGAAAAAAUAAUUUUUGAUAAAUUUAAAUAAGAAAAUAUAUUUUCAGUAAAUUUGGUUCAUUGAUGAUAUCUAAAAUAUUUUGAAGUACUCUUAACUUUGAUGAAUUUAUAAACAAGUAUGUUUUCAAAUUAGUCAAGUAUAUGUUAAAAAUAAUUGAUUAUUUCAUAAAGCAUAUUAGAGCCAAUUGAGUAAACUCUUUGGAAAAAUUGAGUAAAGCUUUUGAAAGCUCUUUGUGAAAAUCCAAUCAAGUAUGCUUUGAAUAUAAUUGAGUGAUACUCAACUUAUUUGAUGAUAAUAGAUUUGUCCGUGUUGAGGAACAAGUAGCUAUAUUUUUGCAUACGAUUGGGCAUGAUGAACGUAAUCGAACUGAAAGCUUCACCUUCUUUAGAUCUGGUCACACAAUUAGUCAUUACUUCCAUGAAGUGUUGCGUGCUUGCCUUGGAUUAUAUAGAGAAGUUGUUGUUAAUGCCACCACUCUUAACUCACCUCACGAGAAGACAAAUGUGAAGCCUUGGUAUUCAUACUUUCAGGUUAGAUUUUCAAAUUCCAUUGCAUUUCUAAUUACAUUGAGUACUUGUAUUUCAUUAUCAAUAAACUAAAAAAAUGUUUUCCAAAGGAUGCUGUGGGGGCCAUAGAUGGUACACACAUUGCCGUGAAUGUUAGACUAGAGGAACAAGCUAGGUACCACAAUAGAAAACAAGUAAUUUCUCAAAAUGUUCUAGUAGCUUGCACUUUUGACAUGAAAUUUAGAUACGUGCUUGCCGGUUGGGGGGAUCGGCACAUGACGGUAGAUUGUUAAGGAACGCAAUAUUACGACAAGGACAUAAGCUAACAGUACCUGUUGGUAAGUUGUAUCCUCUAGCUACUUCACGUUUUGUGUUUUAGUUAUAAAAGAGUUAAAUAUUAACCAUGUUGUAAACUAUUCUUUCAUAGGUAAAUAUUAUCUCACUGAUGCCGGCUUUCCAAUGGUUUCGGGAUUUCUUACUCCUUACCGCAAGACUCGUUACCAUCGUAGAGACAUAGAGGGGCAACGUCCUGAAAAUAGUAAAGAGUUGUUCAACUUUCGACAUUCAUCUCUUCGUAAUGUCGUUGAGAGAACAAUUGGUUUACUUAAAAGAAGAUUCGCAUACUUGCGGCAUCAACCCUACCAUGACAUUGAAACACAAGCAAAGAUAGUCCUUGCAUGUUGUGCCAUUCACAACUUCUUACGGACCGACGACGUCGAAGAUGUUUGUGAUGAUGACUUAGACUUAAGUGACGAUGAGGUUAACACUACUCAUGUCGAUGUAGCUGAAACUGAAACAAUUAAUGCUGACAUAACUUUUGCAACUGAAGCAGCGUGGUCUAACAAUAGGAAUACAAUUGCUGAUUUAAGGUGGGCUGAGUAUCACCACAAUGAUGAUCUUGGAGUGGACUUCCUAGAUUGAGUCUUCUUGUUUUAUGCUUUCUUAACUAUUUAUAAUCAAACAUAAAUAACUAUAUAUUGUGUUGUACUUCUUACAUAUCGAUGUAGACAUAUCUAUAUAUUGUGUUGUACUUCAACAUGUAUAUUGCAUUAGUUUGUUCAUGGAUAUUUGAGCUCAAUAUUAUGUAUGGUAAAGAGAACUUGUCUCCAAUGAUGUAGUGGAUCAAAUAUUGUUUUUGUCCCUUUUUAGGCAAUCAGGUGGAAUCAUUGUUUUGAUUUGAAAUAUUGAAAUCAUGGCACAUAAUCAAUAGUCUUCUACAAACCCAUUUCUUGUGCCGAGAACUCCCAGUACUCCAAGAGUUGAGGACAUCGAUGUUAACUCUCCUACCGGGGAUGUUAAUGCGAAGCUCAAACAUGUGAGGUGGAAUGAUGCUAUGGAUGGCUUCUUAAUUACUUCCUUGGUUACCCAAGUGCUAACGGGUCACAAAAGAAGUGAUAAUGGCUUCUCAAGCCUCCAGGUGUCAAAAGCAGUUGAUGCCGUUUUUGUAGGAUCCAACGUUGUGGUGUUGGACAAAAAUGUAAGGGCUCAGCUGAAGACAUUAAAAAAAGAAUAUGCAAAAGCUCACCACUUGUUGAAUCUGAGUGGUUUUGGGCUAGAUCCCGAGACUGGACGUAUAAUGGCAGAUCCGCUUGCUUGGGAGGAGUUGACAAAGGGUAAUCCUGAGUAUGGAAGGUGGAAGACAAAGCUUUGUAGUCGAUAUGAGGAUAUGGAGAUCAUAUUUGGAAAUGACUCUGCCACUGGAGACCGCGCUGUUACCGGUUUUGACACUGUCUCCCCGGUGCCAGUUGCUAACGAAAGUGUUAAUGAGUUAGACUCCCCGACUGAGAAUGCUAAUCCAAGCUCUAGCAAUACUCGUAAGCGUAAAUCUGAUGAUGGUACGACAAAAGUUUGACGUAGACGUGCACACAAUAUGGAUGACAAUGUACUGGCUCUUUCACGCAUUGCCAACUCUUCCACGAAGAUUGCUAAUGCUAUGGAGAUGCAAGCAACGUUGGACACGCUCAAUCAUAUCAAUUGGCCAAUGGUUAUGCAAAAAUUGGAGUCUAUGGACCUGGACGUUGAUGAUGUUGUAAAAAUGAUGGAGAUGUUUCAAGCAGAAGAAGGUUUGGCAAGAGUCUUCCAUCUGAUGAAAGAUGUACGAUACAUGCGUGCGUUGGUGUUCAAGAAGCUUGGACGUAACCCGCUCCCACAUCGUCAUCCCCCACCAUCAUAGUUUAUCUUGGGUUGGUACUUGUAAUUUUUGUAUGUAAUGCUUGUGGAAAACUAGGUCCACUUAAAUUUUAUGACGGUAUGCUAAUUUGUAACUUCUGUAGCCCACUAUCUUUUGCAUAUAACGUGGGUUCACUCCUUUUGCUUAUCAGGCAUUGUAUAGUACAUGCUUGUAAUAGUUUUGUCACUAUAGUCAGUCUUGUAUUUUGGUGAAGAAAUGGGUCCGUCUAAAUGUGAAACAACUCUUUGUAUGGAGGCAUAAUCUAUGUUUUGGCUUUUCGUAAUUAAUGUAUAAGUGGUGGAGAUUGAGAAUAGGUGCUUCCAUGCAGUGGGUUCUUCAGGCAUUAGGAGGCUGGGAAGAUGAACUUGCCUAUUGUCAGAAGCUUCUUGAAGAUGACAUUUUCAACAAUUCUGCUUGGAAUCAGCUCAUUUGGACACUAAGGAGGGACCAAAGUAUGUCAAACUUGAAGGUUUUGCAUUCAAGAAGCAACUAUAUCUUUGCUCUAAACACGCUUUUGGAUCUUCUCUGUCAUGGUUUUAAACCAGGCCAAGAGUUCAAAGAUGCUGUAGAGACUUUUGAUUCCAAUGUCAGACUGAUCAGAUUCAGAUUUGGCAAAAACAGUUUGUUCUCUCUUGGAGCAUGUUGAUCCAAUGUGAUGCAAGAAAACUCUUUCUUUACAAUCAGUUUAGCAUGGUAGAACCUUUGCUAGAUGCUAUAAAGUAUUGAUAAUCAACUCAAAGUUCCGACUGUUAUCUUCUCCAUUUCCAUUUCAUUGUGACUGCUUUUGAAUUGGUUAUAUACAUGUAGUAUAGAGUACGUGGAUCUUAUGCAACCAAAUGCUUCAGAAAUCAUUUUGA